GAAUGCUGACAUAAGUAACGAUAAAGCGGGUGAAAAGCCCGCUCGCCGGAAGACCAAGGGUUCCUGUCCAACGUUAAUCGGGGCAGGGUGAGUCGACCCCUAAGGCGAGGCCGAAAGGCGUAGUCGAUGGGAAACGGGUUAAUAUUCCCGUACUUGGUGUUACUGCGAAGGGGGGACGGAGAAGGCUAUGUUGGCCGGGCGACGGUUGUCCCGGUUUAAGCGUGUAGGUGUGUGUUCCAGGUAAAUCCGGUUCACUUUAACACUGAGGCGUGACGACGAGGCACUACGGUGCUGAAGCAACAAAUGCCCUGCUUCCAGGAAAAGCCUCUAAGCAUCAGGUAACAUCAAAUCGUACCCCAAACCGACACAGGUGGUCAGGUAGAGAAUACCAAGGCGCUUGAGAGAACUCGGGUGAAGGAACUAGGCAAAAUGGUGCCGUAACUUCGGGAGAAGGCACGCUGACACGUAGGUGAAGUGAUUUACUCAUGGAGCUGAAGUCAGUCGAAGAUACCAGCUGGCUGCAACUGUUUAUUAAAAACACAGCACUGUGCAAACACGAAAGUGGACGUAUACGGUGUGACGCCUGCCCGGUGCCGGAAGGUUAAUUGAUGGGGUCAGCGCAAGCGAAGCUCCUGAUCGAAGCCCCGGUAAACGGCGGCCGUAACUAUAACGGUCCUAAGGUAGCGAAAUUCCUUGUCGGGUAAGUUCCGACCUGCACGAAUGGCGUAAUGAUGGCCAGGCUGUCUCCACCCGAGACUCAGUGAAAUUGAACUCGCUGUGAAGAUGCAGUGUACCCGCGGCAAGACGGAAAGACCCCGUGAACCUUUACUAUAGCUUGACACUGAACAUUGAGCCUUGAUGUGUAGGAUAGGUGGGAGGCUUUGAAGCGUGGACGCCAGUCUGCGUGGAGCCGACCUUGAAAUACCACCCUUUAAUGUUUGAUGUUCUAACGUGGACCCGUGAUCCGGGUUGCGGACAGUGUCUGGUGGGUAGUUUGACUGGGGCGGUCUCCUCCUAAAGAGUAACGGAGGAGCACGAAGGUUGGCUAAUCCUGGUCGGACAUCAGGAGGUUAGUGCAAUGGCAUAAGCCAGCUUGACUGCGAGCGUGACGGCGCGAGCAGGUGCGAAAGCAGGUCAUAGUGAUCCGGUGGUUCUGAAUGGAAGGGCCAUCGCUCAACGGAUAAAAGGUACUCCGGGGAUAACAGGCUGAUACCGCCCAAGAGUUCAUAUCGACGGCGGUGUUUGGCACCUCGAUGUCGGCUCAUCACAUCCUGGGGCUGAAGUAGGUCCCAAGGGUAUGGCUGUUCGCCAUUUAAAGUGGUACGCGAGCUGGGUUUAGAACGUCGUGAGACAGUUCGGUCCCUAUCUGCCGUGGGCGCUGGAGAACUGAGGGGGGCUGCUCCUAGUACGAGAGGACCGGAGUGGACGCAUCACUGGUGUUCGGGUUGUCAUGCCAAUGGCACUGCCCGGUAGCUAAAUGCGGAAGAGAUAAGUGCUGAAAGCAUCUAAGCACGA
rnacentral:rRNA from 1 species